AGCGAACGCUGGCGGCAGGCCUAACACAUGCAAGUCGAACGGACCCUUCGGGGUUAGUGGCGGACGGGUGAGUAACACGUGGGAACGUGCCUUUAGGUUCGGAAUAGCUCCUGGAAACGGGUGGUAAUGCCGAAUGUGCCCUUCGGGGGAAAGAUUUAUCGCCUUUAGAGCGGCCCGCGUCUGAUUAGCUAGUUGGUGGUGUAACGGACCACCAAGGCGACGAUCAGUAGCUGGUCUGAGAGGAUGACCAGCCACAUUGGGACUGAGACACGGCCCAAACUCCUACGGGAGGCAGCAGUGGGGAAUCUUGCGCAAUGGGCGAAAGCCUGACGCAGCCAUGCCGCGUGGAUGAUGGAGGUCUUAGGAUUGUAAAAUCCUUUCACCGGUGAAGAUAAUGACUGUAGCCGGAGAAGAAGCCCCGGCUAACUUCGUGCCAGCCGCCGCGGUAAUAC
rnacentral:rRNA from 1 species